UCCGCGUUGUUCAGCUAAAAAUUUGGCGCGAAAAAAGAGCCAUCCGCGCGCCAUGCGAGCAGAAAAUAGAAGGGAGUGCACGCGUCAAAAAAACUCUACCCCAAAUCCCCAAAUCUCAGCCCACCCCCCCGCGACCUAGACACCCACAACGCCGCCUCCCAACCCACAACACCGCUUCCCCAUCCCGACCCCGCCGCCACCCCAUCCCUGACGGCACCCCAACCCACCGCACCGCCUCCCUGACCGCCCCGCCGCACCGACCCACGGCGCCGCCGCCCCGAUCGCAUCGCAGCCCCGACUGUGCCGCCACAGCCCCAACCCACCACGCGAGUGCCCCGACCGCGCCGUCCCCGACCCACGGCAUCUCCGCCCCUCCACACUCUACACGACGACGUCAGCUACAGGUCCUGCGCACCACCCUUUGAGGAGCAGCAGCAUCGUCCACUCCGUGGAUCUGAAGUUGCCCCUCGCGCUCCCGCUUGGGCCCUUCCCGGGUCCUCAUUCGUUGGCCUUCGAUCUCAUCCCGCCGUGGAUAUCACGCCUUGGUCUUCUUCUUUUCAGGCAGGUGAGCCCUGAGGUCCCAAUCGAUCCUAGAUGCUCUCGCUAGCUGAUGCCUGUUGCUGGUGCUGAUAGCUGUUGCUGAAGUGCUGAUAGCUGCUGCUGCUGCUAAUUUGUGUUGUUAACUGCUAGUAAUUAUUACAGUUUAGAGUUUAGUACUACUAGAGUAGCAGGAGUUUGUGAUCUUGCUGUUAAUUCGCUGCUGCUAGUUGCUGCUGAUAUUAGUUUACUGCCGGUAGGUGCUGCUGUUAAUUUGCUGCUGCUAGCUAGCUACCGUUGCUUGGCUGCUUCUGUUACCUAUGGCUACUAGCUGCUAAUUUGUGUUCUUGUUCACUUUGUCUUUUAUUUGUUAUUUUUUGUGUAAUAAAAUAUGAAGGAGUGGUGAGAGAGACUAUCAUGGAUCAUGGUCAUGGUACCUUCUUUUGGUUGAACUAAGCAAAAUUGGACAGUCUGGAAAAGGGAGAAGACUAUGAACCAACUAGAUAAGCUUUUUAUUACAAUUCAUAUUAUAUAUAUAUGAUGCUUCCAAAGUUUUGAAUGCUUUGCUUGCUUGCUGAUUACUGCUGUAACAUCUUGCCAUCUUCUCUAUGAUGUAUGUAGCUGCUGCCCGUGCACUGGAAGGGGAUCAGAGGACAACACACAAAGAGGAAGUGGCAAGAUAUUGGGCAGAGAACAAGGUUAUAAACUUAUAGGUAUACCUCCAUUUACAUUCUAGCAUUUUUUUGCUGCCAAACUGUAUAGCCUAUAUGGUAUAUGUUUUUUCCUGGGACCAAAUAAUUAUUUUCGGAUCUUAAAUUAGUACAAAGAAGUGAAGUUUGGGUGAUGAGUUUGAUGUUGACUGAUUCAUGUGGUAUUUUUUUUUUGUAAUAUCAGUUAUAAGUGAUUGUCUCUUGAUAAAUACUCCCUCUAUCCCAAAAUAACUAUCUCAACUUUGUACUAGCUCUAGUACAAAGUUAUACUAAGCUUAAGACAUUUAUUUUGGGACGGAGGGAGUAUGUUGUAACAAAUAAUUUUGGUACACAUUGUAAAUGAUGAGAAGUCUUUUCCAAUACAAUGCCUCAUCAUAGGGGAUAUCUCUAAAAGUAUCAUUCAUUAUAUUAUUUUUAGUCCUAUACUUUAUCUAUCUUUUUUUUCAUCUUCCAUAGUUUUUUUUUGUAAAUAUCCUACAAGAUAACUACCGGGUAUAAUAAAAAUAAAUCACCAGAAUAAUUAUCUUCUUGGCUUCUAUGAAGCUAACUCCGGAAAGAACAAUCUCUGCGCAAACACCAAGACAAAUUAAAGUUUAUCAAUUGGCACCGCCUACACAGAAAUUCUCGUUCUUUGUAUUCCACUCCCAGUAAAUAUGAUAUCAGAUAGCUUAUUAUUUAGAGAGAAAUGUAACAUAUAAUUCUUUUCAUAGCCUGGUUUAUGAUUCACGAUCAGUAUGACUCAUGUGCAAUAUUACUUUUUGUCUCUUUUAUCCAGCGAAAUAGAGAAAAUAAAUUAAAUUUUGUACGAAUAUCCCAUCAAACAGCAAAAGAAGUUUCCAGGGAGGUGAUUUCCUGUCCCUUUUUCUGCUGUAUUUUCUCCCACAGUAUGAUACACUUUCCACUUUUCUAGUUUUUGAUAAUACCCAAAUCUUGACAGGAAAUGGAUCCAGCAGCCUGUCCAACUCCAGCUACAAGAGCCAUAUAUUGAAAAAGGCAAGAUGGAGGUUGAUAGGUAACUAAUACUCUUGGAAUGAUGACCAUAAAAUAAGUGAACGCUUCUCAAAGUAUCGUUUAAUUUAAUACGCUAUUUCUGUUACAGCCGGGCAAAAACGCAAGCUGCUAUCCAAGUUAAAUGGAGAGAACAGUGUGUUUCCAAAUCAUGUCGUUCUGUGAACAUUACAGUGCUAUAUACUUGUUUUUGCAUAUUGUUAAACAAUGCAAGUUCUACACAAUAGGAAUUGCUUGCACUUGUGUAGUUACAAUAAUUAGAGAGUUGCAUGGUCUGACAAUGUAUAUGUGAUGGUUCGUUGCUCAUGUUUUUGCUGCUUGUACUGCAGGAGAACCUAGAAGGCUUGCACGUGACCAAUACAAAAUGACCUCUCCAGUAGUUCAAAACCAAGUAAGGAGGUAAUUUCAGAUUCAGUUUUAUGAGAAGUAACUAGUGAGCAUGAAAGAAAAUAGUAUAGCAAUAUUCUGCAUACUUAUUCAUCAACAUACAAUAGUUUCACAUAUGUUGAUGUGUAGUCUUACAUUGAAUGUAGCUGUGGUACUUGAAAAAUAACUUUAACCGUUUGAGAAAAUUAACUCUAUGACUUCUUAGUAUUCCUCACCCUUUUUCGACACUACUUUAUCAACAUAUGGCAACUCUCAUGUAAUAUGCAUACUCUCGUGGAUAUGAACGCAUGCGUUUGUAAGAAGUUCAAUGCUGGUCCGAUGCUUUAUUUUCUACAAAGUUGGGCUAUAUGUUCAUGGAUGCUUCAUGAUAACGAUGCAUGCAAUAAGGUUUCGUAAACUUCAUUUAAAUAAUCAGUAUGUUUUGGGUGUCUGACCUAUACAUAUAACAACACUAUCAAUCUAGUUUUUUGUACACCUUCUGUUUUUUUGGUUCUUUGCACUCAAUAGUAACUUAUAAGUAUGAACAAAUGCUAUUAUGAUAAUAUUGCUCAAACAUAUGAGUGCUUUUGCAGGGUCACAUAGUGGAAAUUAUGAAGUCGAACAUAUUAUAGCUUUUGUUAGUGGAAUGCAUGGUCAACCUGUUUUAUACAAAUGGAAGUUGAUGUCAGUUUGGUGAUCGAAGACUUGGUCUAUUCCAUAGUGUUUUGUAGGGUGAACGAACACCUAGUAUCUUAUGAACUUGGCCCAUAUUUUGUAACAUGCCACGACUUGUAUGUUGAUGUAUGUAUUUCUUUAAUGGUUGUUGCAAAAUCGGGAGAGAGAACCUAAUGGAUUUUUUAUGUGUUGAAUAAAUGCAUUGAUCAAUGGCAUCUUGUGGUGAAUACAAGAGGCCAAUUGUUGGUAUAUGUACUACAAAGUGAACAUAAACUGAAUAUUUUGAGUUUACUUUCAUGUUAAUAUAUGGUGCAUUUGGGUUUGUUCUGAAAUGUAUAACGCAGGCAGCAAAUGUGUCAGCACAAGUAUUGGAGGUUGCAAAGACUGUCGACAUAGCAUACUGACAUACAAACUUUUGGGGUAGCAAUGGUAGUUGCACUAUCUGUCGGGGUAGCACACUGUCAAGCCGUCUAUCGGGAUAACAUCGUUUGUUGCUGUAGAAAUGUCUGUCGGCAUAGAUC
rnacentral:lncRNA from 1 species